rnacentral:misc_RNA from 1 species
GAUGAAGAACGUAGCGAAAUGCGAUACGUAAUGUGAAUUGCAAAUUCAGUGAAUCAUCGAGUCUUUGAACGCACAUUGCGCCCCCUGGUAUUCCGGGGGGCAUGCCUGUCCGAGCGUCAUUGCUGCCCUCAAGCACGGCUUGUGUGUUGGGCCCCGUCCUCCGAUUCCGGGGGACGGGCCCGAAAGGCAGCGGCGGCACCGCGUCCGGUCCUCGAGCGUAUGGGGCUUUGUCACCCGCUCUGUAGGCCCGGCCGGCGCUUGCCGAUCAACCCAAAUUUUUAUCCAGGUUGAACUCGGAUCAGGUAGGGAUACCCGCUGAACUUAAGCAUAUCAAUAAGCGGAGGA